rnacentral:rRNA from 1 species
GUUAAAUGUUCUUCGUGAACAUAGCGAACUGCUCAGUAACACGUGGAUAACCUACCCUUAGGACCGGAAUAACCCCGGGAAACUGGGGAUAAUACCGGAUAAGCCAUAGACGCUGGAAUGCCCUAUGGUUCAAAGCUUCGGCGCCUAAGGAUGGAUCUGCGGUCUAUCAGGUUGUAGUGGGUGUAACGUACCUACUAGCCGACGACGGAUACGGGUUGUGAGAGCAAGAGCCCGGAGAUGGAUUCUGAGACACGAAUCCAGGCCCUACGGGGUGCAGCAGGCGCGAACACUUUACAAUGCGGGAAACCGCGAUAAGGGAACCCCGAGUGCCAGCAUCAAAUGUUGGCUGUCCAGAUGAUUAAAAAUCAUUUGUUAGCAAGGGCCGGGCAAGACCGGUGCCAGCCGCCGCGGUAACACCGGCGGCCCGAGUGGUAGCCGUUUUUAUUGGGUCUAAAGGGUCCGUAGCCGGCCUGAUAAGUCCUUUGGGAAAUCUGGCAGCUUAACUGUCAGGCUUCUAAGGGAUACUGUCAGGCUUGGGACCGGAAGAGGUAAGGGGUACUCCAGGAGUAGGAGUGAAAUCUUGUAAUCCCUGGGGGACCAUCUGUGGCGAAGGCGCCUUACCAGAACGGGUCCGACGGUGAGGGACGAAAGCUAGGGGAGCAAACCGGAUUAGAUACCCGGGUAGUCCUAGCUGUAAACGAUGCUCGCUAGGUGUCAGACACGGUGCGACCGUGUUUGGUGCCGCAGGGAAGCCGUUAAGCGAGCCACCUGGGAAGUACGGUCGCAAGGCUGAAACUUAA